UUCACGACAGCUCAGCUGGUGGAGCAUGGGACUCUUAAUCUCAAGGGCGUGGAUUCGAGUCCUGUGUUGCGCAA